rnacentral:lncRNA from 1 species
GCAGCUUUAAACUAAUAUGAAUUUUUUUUUUUUUUGUAAUGUAUAGGGAAAAUAAUACAACACCAUAAUAGCAAAAUGCAAUAAAUAACCAAGCUAUUUCAAUAAUUUAUGAUAUUACAAAUGCAUUAAUAUUACCGUUGACAUAUACCUCGAAACACGUAUCAUACCAUUUGACCGUAAAGUCGUUGUCGGGCUUGACGUUUGAAAUGUUUAACAUGGCCAUAAAAAUUAUCGUUUAAGUGUCAUCAUUUAUCAGCAAAAACUAUUUGGUUUCGCAUAUACGCAAUAAUAGCGAAGCAUUAGGCAAGCACAUCUUAUCGUCCUUCCCUACACCUUUAUCACCCUGCUUACUCGCUUCGUAAUUCUCGUAUCAAUGCUUUGAGAAGAGAGCAGGCAUUUUCAGCGUCGUCGCAAUGUCUAAGUAUAAGUUAUCAGUAACAUCACAAUGUGUGAGGAUAUGUUAUCAAGCUUGCUUUCGUCAAGAGUAAAACUGUAAGGGAAGGACAAAAAGAGCAGUGACAGAAACGAUAAACAAAUCAUCGGGUUUUCUUCGUAAAGAUAUCGUAGAAUAUCAGCCACUGGACACCAUGUGAAGCUCUUUAGCUCGUUCGCUGCGCUUACGCGCCAAAAAGUUCUCAUUGUGUCUCGCGGCUUAUAUUUUACGAUAUCAAUAUUAACAAAACCCG